rnacentral:rRNA from 1 species
UACGUAGGGUGCGAGCGUUGUCCGGAAUUACUGGGCGUAAAGAGUUCGUAGGUGGUUUGUCGCGUUGUCCGUGAAAACUCACAACUCAAUUGUGGGCGUGCGGGCGAUACGGGCAGACUGGAGUACUGCAGGGGAGACUGGAAUUCCUGGUGUAGCGGUGGAAUGCGCAGAUAUCAGGAGGAACACCGGUGGCGAAGGCGGGUCUCUGGGCAGUAACUGACGCUGAGGAGCGAAAGCGUGGGGAGCGAACAGG